rnacentral:rRNA from 1 species
UACGAAGGGGGCUAGCGUUGCUCGGAAUCACUGGGCGUAAAGCGCACGUAGGCGGCUUUUUAAGUCAGGGGUGAAAUCCUGGAGCUCAACUCCAGAACUGCCUUUGAUACUGAAGAUCUUGAGUCCGGGAGAGGUGAGUGGAACUGCGAGUGUAGAGGUGAAAUUCGUAGAUAUUCGCAAGAACACCAGUGGCGAAGGCGGCUCACUGGCCCGGUACUGACGCUGAGGCACGAAAACGUGGGGAGCAAACAGG